rnacentral:rRNA from 1 species
UUGACGGGACCGCACAAGCGGUGGAUGAUGUGGUUUAAUUCGAUGCAACGCGAAAACCUUACCUACCCUUGACAUGUCCGGAAUCCCGAAGAGAUUUGGGAGUGCUCGCAAGAGAACCGGGACACAGGUGCUGCAUGGCUGUCGUCAGCUCGUGUCGUGAGAUGUUGGGUUAAGUCCCGCAACGAGCGCAACCCUUGUCAUUAGUUGCCAUCAUUUGGUUGGGCACUCUAAUGAGACUGCCGGUGACAAACCGGAGGAAGGUGGGGAUGACGUCAAGUCCUCAUGGCCCUUAUGGGUAGGGCUUCACACGUCAUACAAUGGUCGGUACAGAGGGUUGCCAACCCGCGAGGGGGAGCUAAUCCCACAAAGCCGGUCGUAGUCCGGAUCGCAGUCUGCAACUCGACUGCGUGAAGUCGGAAUCGCUAGUAAUCGUGGAUCAGCAUGUCACGGUGAAUACGUUCCCGGGUCUU